CCUACGGGUGGCAGCAGUGAGGAAUAUUGGUCAAUGGACGAGAGUCUGAACCAGCCAUGUAGCGUGAAGGAUGACUGCCCUAUGGGUUGAAAACUUCUUUUAUAUGGGAAUAAAACGUUCCACUUGUGGGAUUUUGUAUGUACCAUAUGAAUAAGGAUCGGCUCACUCCGUGCCAGCAGCCGCGGUAAUACGGAGGAUCCGAGCGUUAUCCGGAUUUAUUGGGUUUAAAGGGAGCGUAGGUGGAUGGUUAAGUCAGUUGUGAAAGGUUGGGGCUCAACCGUACAAUUGCAGUUGAAACUGGCAGUCUUGAGUACAGUAGAGGUGGGCGGAAUUCGUGGUGUAGCGGUGAAAUGCUUAGAGAUCACGAAGAACUCCGAUGGCGAAGGCAGUUCACUGGACUGCAACUGACGCUGAGGCUCGAAAGUGUGGGGAUCAAACAGGAUUAGAUACCCGUGUAGUC
rnacentral:rRNA from 1 species